rnacentral:rRNA from 1 species
GAAACAGCCCAGAUCACCAUUUAAGGCCCCUAAAUAAUUACUAAGUGAUAAAGGAUGUAACAGUACCUAGACAACCAGGACAUUAGCCUAGAAGCAGCGAUUGUUUAAAAAGUGCGUAAUAGCUUACUGGUCAAGUGCUUUUGCGCCGAAAAUGUAUGGGACUAAGUAAUUUGCCGAAAGUGUGAGUAAUACGGUAGAAGAGCGUUCUACAAUUGUUUGAAGUAAUAGCGUAAGCAGUUAUGGACUAAGUAGAAGUGAGAAUGUCGGCUUAAGUAACGAAAACAUUGGUUGAAAUCCAAUGCUCUGUAAGCCUAAGGAUUCCUCCGGAAGGUUCGUCCGCGGAGGGUUAGUCAGGUUCUAAGACGAGGUUUAAAAACGUAGUUGAUGAUUAACAGGUUAAUAUUCCUGUACUGUAUCUUGUUUAGUUAAGAGGGACGGAAAAGGCUAUGCCAUCCAAAGAUUGGUUGUUUUGGUUCAAGUAUUCGAGGUGUUGAAGGAUUUAAAAAAAUAUGUCCAGAGCUGAGAUACGAGUACGAGACACUACGGUGUCAAAAGUGGUUGAUGUCAUAUUCCCAAGAAAAUCUUUUGUAACGUUUAAUGCAAGUUAUACCUGUACCUUAAACCGACACAGGUAGGUUAGUAGAGAAUACUCAGGAGCGCGAGAGAACUCUUUUUAAGGAACUCGGCAAAAUAACCCUGUAACUUCGGGAGAAGGGGUGCCCUAACGGGUCGCAGUGAUCAGGUCCAAGCGGCUGUUUAUCAAAAACACAGGUCUCCGCCAAGUCGAAAGACGAUGUAUGGGGGCUGACGCCUGCCCAGUGCCGGAAGGUUACAGAAAUCGGUUAGUCGAAAGAUGAAGCUGGUGACUUAAGCCCUGGUGAACGGCAGCAGUAACUAUAACUGUUCUAANGUAGCGAAAUUCCUUGUCGGGUAAGUUCCGACCCGCACGAAAGGCGUAACGAUUUGGACACUGUCUCAAAAAGAGGCUCGGUGAAAUAGAAUUGACUGUGAAGAUGCGGUCUACUUGCACUUGGACAGAAAGACCCUAUGAAGCUUUACUGUAACUUGAUAUUGGUUUUGGACUUUUUUUGCGCAGUAUAAGUGGGAGGCAUUGAUCUUCUCUUUCGGGGGAUAGUGAGCCAACAGUGAGAUACCACUCUAAAAAAGUUAAAAGUCUAAUGGCAUUCUUUGAUUAAGAUGCUUGACAGUUUCAGGCGGGCAGUUUUACUGGGGCGGUAGCCUCCUAAAAGGUAACGGAGGCGUACAAAGGUUUUCUCAAGCUGGACGGAAAUUAGUUGUAGAGUGUAAAGACAGAAGAAAGCUUAACUGUUAGACUUAUAAGUCAAGCAGAGACGAAAGUCGGUCUUAGUGAUCCGACGAUGCUGUGUGGAAAGAUCGUCGCUUAACAGAUAAAAGUUACUCUAGGGAUAACAGGCUGAUCUCCCCCAAGAGUUCACAUCGACGGGGAGGUUUGGCACCUCGAUGUCGGCUCAUCGCAACCUGGAGCGGUAGUACGUUCCAAGGGUUGGGCUGUUCGCCCAUUAAAGCGGUACGUGAGCUGGGUUCAGAACGUCGAGAGACAGUUCGGUCCAUAUCCGGUGUAAGCGUUAGAGUAUUGAGAGGAGCUUUCCUUAGUACGAGAGGACCGGGAAAGACACACCACUGGUGUACCAGUUCUUAUGCCAAUAGGAAACGCUGGGUAGUCACGUGUGGA